rnacentral:rRNA from 1 species
GACGAACGCUGGCGGCGUGCUUAACACAUGCAAGUCGAACGCUGAAGCCUGGCUUUUGUUGGGUGGAUGAGUGGCGAACGGGUGAGUAACACGUGAGUAACCUGCCCUCUUUCUUUGGGAUAACGCCCGGAAAACGGGUGCUAAUACUGGAUAUUCACUUGCCUUCGCAUGGGGGUGGGUGGAAAGGGUUUUUUUCUGGUGGGGGAUGGGCUCGCGGCCUAUCAGCUUGUUGGUGGGGUGAUGGCUUACCAAGGCUUUGACGGGUAGCCGGCCUGAGAGGGUGACCGGUCACAUUGGGACUGAGAUACGGCCCAGACUCCUACGGGAGGCAGCAGUGGGGAAUAUUGCACAAUGGGCGCAAGCCUGAUGCAGCGACGCCGCGUGAGGGAUGGAGGCCUUCGGGUUGUGAACCUCUUUCGCUCAUGGUCAAGCCGCAACUUCGUGGUUGUGGUGAGGGUAGUGGGUAAAGAAG